AUGAGAUGGCUUCUUGAAAAUACUCGGGUUGAGAUAUGCCCGACGGCAUAUAAUGAGGAUAUUCUUGAAGAACCCGUAAACUUUGAGGAUCUAUCAAAGGGGAAGUACAAUAGAGAUGUCAGGGAAGGGCAAGGAGUCCCUGCUGUUCCGGUGAUUAACUAUGUGCGCACCGAGAUCAAGAAAGCAGCUGAUGAGAGCUAG
rnacentral:rRNA from 1 species